rnacentral:rRNA from 1 species
CCGGGAUUGCCUUAGUAACGGCGAGUGAAGCGGCAAAAGCUCAAAUUUGAAAUCUGGUACCUUCGGUGCCCGAGUUGUAAUUUGGAGAGGGCAACUUUGGGGCCGUUCCUUGUCUAUGUUCCUUGGAACAGGACGUCAUAGAGGGUGAGAAUCCCGUGUGGCGAGGAGUGCGGUUCUUUGUAAAGUGCCUUCGAAGAGUCGAGUUGUUUGGGAAUGCAGCUCUAAGUGGGUGGUAAAUUCCAUCUAAAGCUAAAUAUUGGCGAGAGACCGAUAGCGAACAAGUACAGUGAUGGAAAGAUGAAAAGAACUUUGAAAAGAGAGUGAAAAAGUACGUGAAAUUGUUGAAAGGGAAGGGCAUUUGAUCAGACAUGGUGUUUUGUGCCCUCUGCUCCUUGUGGGUAGGGGAAUCUCGCAUUUCACUGGGCCAGCAUCAGUUUUGGUGGCAGGAUAAAUCCAUAGGAAUGUAGCUUGCCUCGGUAAGUAUUAUAGCCUGUGGGAAUACUGCCAGCUGGGACUGAGGACUGCGACGUAAGUCAAGGAUGCUGGCAUAAUGGUUAUAUGCCGCCCGUC